rnacentral:sRNA from 1 species
GAGUUCCGAAAUGCUUCCGAACAGGUAUUGUCGACUUAGAAGCUUUUUUCUGUAUUUCUGAAAAACUACUUCGGAGUUUCUCGGUAGGAGUCAUAGGAACGCUUAAGAAAGCUGACUUAAACGGCGAACUUGGUUCUAAAGUCGCAGAGGAAGGCGAACUUGGUUCUAUAAUUACCGGCGAUGAACUUGGCUCUAUAAUCUCAGGAGACGAAGGCGCGCCGUUCAUGGAAUCCAGAAAAGGCGAAUCGAAAUCGAGACUGUCUCUAAAGGGUUUACUCCUGGUUUGGACACUUCCGCUUUCUGAGGGUGGAUUCCAUUCUAAUGAGUCGCGAUCGCUGCGUUUGAAGGCGGUGGUUGCUGAACUGUAUCUUCGUCUGAAUUUGUGUUGCCUGUAGAUAGUGCGGCCUAUCAGUAUAUAUAGAGUAGAUAUAACUAGCAAGCCUCCGACGGCCGUCACGAACAGAAUGGUAUUGUACAGAGAAAGAGCUGCAUGGUCUGCAGAGGGGCUCACCCCACAUCGGUACCCCGUCAGAUUAAGGUAGGGACUGGUGAUAGGGAUUUCUCCAUAAAACAUCAGACAUGGCAACGACAGGAAUAAAGACAGCAAAAUGACUGCUACCAGUGCGGAGUGUUUCGCCUUGAUAGUCAUUUGUUUUUUGAAUGGUCUAACCACUUUUAAGUAGCGCUGCACUGCUAUAACAACCAACAUUAAGGCUGCACACAAAGUGGUCACCUGGGUCAAGAACCACAAAAUCUUGCACAGUUCGUUCCCUUGGAAUCGGAGUGGUAGCAUAUUUAGUGCUAUUGCAUAACCGGCCCCAACACCGCAUGCGCAAAGGUCCAUAACGGCAAGAUGGGGAAUAAAAUAUCGGUCAUCUCGGGAACCCUUCAUCCGGAAGUUGUAGAUAUAGAUGACGAUAGUGUUACCUGUUAUUCCAAUCAGAAGAUAAAACCCGAGGACCACUGUAUUCACUGUUAGCACCGCGGACUUUUCAUUAUUCCACUCUUCCAGUGUGUAAGAUUUAGUCUCAUUCAUUUUAAUGUGCUUCCACUGACUGUUAUGUUGUUUGUUUGAGGAGGCCGGGGUUAUGAAUGUGUAUAGGUUGUCGUUUUCCAGCGCUUUGAAUUGGAUUUCCGGUUAACUCGGAAAUGGGAGAACAAGGCAGGCAGUUAUAGUGACAUGUACGAUAGGCUUUUUUCUCAACAUUUAUGUAUAUUGUUAAUGGUUGCAACAACUCGUCUUGUGUUUUAUGUAUGUCCAUUUUAUUGCUCCAUCCCACGGCCACAGGGUCGGACUCUUAAUCCGCAAUAUUUGAAAACUGUUGUACAGUGUACUUCUUUAAAGUCUAGUUUUAAAUUAGACAAAGCGGUUCAAGGCAAGAACCAUUUCCAUUUGUGUCUAUAUUUUUAUAGAUAUUAGUCAGAUGUAUCUACGAUUAUGAAUGACUCUAUGUGUCCAGUAAUUAGUUGUAAGAUUUUUUAGUAUGCCAAUAACACACAUUAUCAGAC